AUGAGCUGAAAAGUAAAAGAUUUAUCGCCUAGGGAAGAGCUCGCGGCUGAUUAGCUAGUUGGUAGUGUAAAGGACAACCAAGGCAACGAUCAGUAGCUGGUCUGAGAGGAUGAGCAGCCACACUGGGACUGAGACACGGCCCAGACUCCUACGGGAGGCAGCAGUGGGGAAUUUUCCGCAAUGGGCGAAAGCCUGACGGAGCAAUACCGCGUGAGGGAGGAAGGCUCUUGGGUUGUAAACCUCAAAACUCAGGGAAGAAGAAAGUGACGGUACCUGAUAUAAGCAUCGGCUAACUCCGUGCCAGCAGCCGCGGUAAUACGGAGGAUGCAAGCGUUAUCCGGAAUCAUUGGGCGUAAAGCGUCCGUAGGUGGCAUUUCAAGUCUGCAUUCAAAGACCGAGGCUCAACCUCGGGCAGGGUGUGGAAACUGAAAAGCUAGAGUACAGGAGGGGUAGAGGGAAUUCCUAGUGUAGCGGUGAAAUGCGUAGAGAUUAGGAAGAACACCAGUGGCGAAGGCGCUCUACUGGACAUGUACUGACACUGAGGGACGAAAGCUAGGGUAGCGAAAGGGAUUAGAUACCCCUGUAGUCUUAGCUGUAAACGAUGGAUACUAAGUGUAGCGGGUAUAAACUCCGGCUGUGCUGAAGCAAACGCGUUAAGUAUCCCGCCUGGGGAGUACGCACGCAAGUGUGAAACUCAAAGGAAUUGACGGGGACCCGCACAAGCGGUGGAGUAUGUGGUUUAAUUCGAUGCAACGCGAAGAACCUUACCAAGACUUGACAUCCGAUGAAUCUUUUUGAAAGAAGAGAGUGCCUUAGGGAACAUCGUGACAGGUGGUGCAUGGCUGUCGUCAGCUCGUGUCGUGAGAUGUUGGGUUAAGUCCCGCAACGAGCGCAACCCUCGUCCUUAGUUGCCAGCAUUAAGUUGGGGACUCUAGGGAGACCGCCGGGGAGAACUCGGAGGAAGGUGGGGAUGACGUCAAGUCAGCAUGCCCCUUACGUCUUGGGCUACACACGUACUACAAUGGUUGGGACAAAGGGAUGCGAGACCGCAAGGUGGAGCGAAACCCAUCAAACCCAGCCCCAGUUCAGAUCGUCGGCUGAAACUCGCCGACGUGAAGGAGGAAUCGCUAGUAAUCGCAGGUCAGCAUACUGCGGUGAAUCCGUUCCCGGGUCUUGUACACACCGCCCGUCACACCAUGGAAGUUGGUAACAUCCGAAGUCGUUACUCCAACCAUUUAUGGAGGAGGACGCCGAAGGUGGGACUAGUGACUGGGGUGAAGUCGUAACAAGGUAGCCGUACCGGAAGGUGUGGCUGGAUCACCU
rnacentral:rRNA from 1 species